CCUCCAAUUUUAAUUUGGAGAAAAACCUCGAAACUUGACUCUCUCUCUCUCUCCGUUCCUGAUUGAAGCAAAGCAGUAAACAUGAGCGCCCACCUGUCUCUCCGCCACCGCUCUUUCGCAUACCUCACUCGCUACCCCUCCUCCUCACCCUUCUCCACCGCCGCCGCCACCUCCAAAAUCCCCACCCUUUACGAACCCACUGCCGCCGCCACCACCCAAGAUGACGACGCCCCCACCACAACCCUCCAACUCCUCUCAUGGGGCAGAGGCGCCUCCGGCCAGCUCGGCGGCGGCAUCGAAGAAAUCCGACUCUACCCAACCCCAGUCGCCAAAGUCGUCGUUCCCACCUCAUCCUUCACUCUUUCACCAUCCCAGGGCCGAAUUCAAACCCCCAAUUGCUCGAAUCAAGAAAGCAAUGCCGGCCGCCGCAUUGUACAGGUCGGUAUUUCUUGUGGAUUGUUCCACUCUUCGCUAUUGGUGGAUGGUAAGCUUUGGAUUUGGGGUAAAGGCGACGGCGGUCAACUUGGUUUUGGACAUGAGAAUUCUCUGUUUCUGCCCACUUUGAACCCGAAUUUGGAUUCGGUUCGCUUUGUGGCGCUUGGCGGGUUGCAUUCGGUGGCGCUCACCACCACUGGCGAACUCUAUACUUGGGGUUAUGGUGGUUUUGGUGCUCUUGGACAUUCUGUUUAUACUAGAGAGUUGUUCCCUAGAUUGGUAGAAGGAUCAUGGAGUGGGAAAAUAUGUCAUAUUUCAACUAGUGGGACGCAUACUGGUGCCAUCACGGAAUCAGGAGAACUUUAUACUUGGGGUCGAGAUGAAGGGGAUGGUAGAUUGGGACUUGGUCCUAAUCGAGGCCCAAAUGAGGGUGGUGGACUUAGCAUACCGUCCAAAGUAAAAGCAUUACCUAUGCCAGUGGCUGCCGUUUCUUGCGGAGGGUUUUUCACAAUGGCACUGAUGGAAGAUGGGGAACUUUGGAAUUGGGGAGCAAACUCUAACUAUGAGCUUGGAAGGGGCGAUAAGGUUGGUGGUUGGACACCAAAACCAGUUCCUAGUCUUGUAAGCGUUCGUAUCAUUCAGAUAGAAAGUGGUGGAUAUCAUUCUCUUGCGUUAACCGAUGAAGGUAAAGUACUUUCUUGGGGACAUGGUGGGCAUGGUCAGUUGGGCAACUCUUCUUUACAAAGUCAGAAAACACCCACAGUUGUUAAGGCUUUAACUGAUGAGCGUGUUAUCUAUAUUGCUUGCGGGGGUUCAUCUUCAGCAGCUAUAACAGAUAAAGGAAAGUUGUAUAUGUGGGGAUAUACCAAAGAUUCUCAGUUAGGCGUACCUGGGUUGCCAGAGAUCCAACCAUCCCCCGUUGAAGUCAAGUUUUUAAUGGAGGAGGAUGGAUUGGGAGCCCACAAUGUGCUGUCUGUUGCAGUUGGUGCUUCCCAUGCCAUGUGCUUGGUUUCAAGGGAUGAAUUGUCCAACUGAGCUCAAAUGGGGGAGAAACCGAAAAUCUGUGGUUCUGAAGUGAAACUGAUUCGAGAUUAUAAAUCGCAUGCUAGAGAGAUGACGAUGUCUUGUGAAGAGAUAUUGAGAGAUACAAGAAACACUAUGCAUGAGAGAUACAAGAAACACUAUGCACGAAAUAAAAUGUGACCACUUGGGUGCAAUAAAUCGCUGCCCUUCCUUCUUCUGUUGCAAGUACUACGUCGACUGUGUGCUCCAACUCAGCUUGCUAAAAAAACGCAUUGAACCCUCCUCCCAAAUGCAAUUGGUUCAGAGAUGUGUAACCGUGUUGCAAGGAUACCGACAUUGACAGAACUCAGUUAUUGAAAACACAUGAGAUUUUCUCAGGUUCCUUAAAUUAUUGGCAGAGGUAGUAGAUAUCUUGUUGUGCAUUCUUGUAACGUAUGGUUCUUCUUUGUUGUGCCAGUUGCUACUUGCUAGACUGCCCCAGCCCAGCCCAGGGCUGGCACUCUGGCCCAAACUACCCUACAAUUUUUCGUCGGCUAUUAAGAGAUGGUGCGGCAAAUUAUCUUCAUGAAUUCCUUUCUAAUCUAACUGGAGGGCCACAGUCAAAGGAGACAAAGCAUGAAAUGAAAACAUGCAUGCAUGCAUAUGUGGACCACCAACCAAGCUGCUGCAUGCCGAUCGAGAUCCGUUUGGUGCGUGACAAACUUCAAUUAUGCACUUAGUUUGGCUCCAUUUUCUUCACGCCUUUCACGACAAACAUUUACGGAAAAUAUUAUUAGCCCCUCGAUAUUUUUAUCUGAGGUAUUUGUCGAUUCUUCUUUAAAACUUAUGAGGAGUUGUUAAUUUCUUUUAUGAACAUUAAUUUUAACCGAUUAUACCUCCUUAAA